rnacentral:misc_RNA from 1 species
UCCGGUUUGUCACCGGCAGUCUCCUUAGAGUGCCCACCAUGACGUGCUGGAAACCGUCCGGACAUGUCAAGGGCUGGUAAGGUUCUUCGCGUUGCGUCGAAUUAAACCACAUGCUCCACCGCUUGUGCGGGCCCCCGUCAAUUCCUUUGAGUUUUAACCUUGCGGCCGUACUCCCCAGGCGGGAUGCUUAAUGCGUUAGCUGCGCCACCAACAAGCAUGCUUGCUGACGGCUAGCAUCCAUCGUUUACAGCGUGGACUAC